UGGGGAAUAUUGCACAAUGGGCGAAAGCCUGAUGCAGCAACGCCGCGUGAGUGAUGAAGGUCUUCGGAUUGUAAAGCUCUGUCUUUUGGGACGAUAAUGACGGUACCAAAGGAGGAAGCCACGGCUAACUACGUGCCAGCAGCCGCGGUAAUACGUAGGUGGCGAGCGUUGUCCGGAUUUACUGGGCGUAAAGGGUGCGUAGGCGGAUGUUUAAGUGAGAUGUGAAAUACCCGGGCUUAACUUGGGUGCUGCAUUUCAAACUGGAUAUCUAGAGUGCAGGAGAGGAGAAUGGAAUUCCUAGUGUAGCGGUGAAAUGCGUAGAGAUUAGGAAGAACACCAGUGGCGAAGGCGAUUCUCUGGACUGUAACUGACGCUGAGGCACGAAAGCGUGGGUAGCAAACAGGAUUAGAUACCCUGGAUAGUCCACGCC
rnacentral:rRNA from 1 species